AGUAUAACACCCGGUUAUCACCAGGUGGGUUUUAGUUUGUUGUGAUUUUGAUAAUUGAGAAUUAUUAUGAUUAUCAUUAUCAUUGUCACAUUUUUUUUGGUGUUUAUAUGACAUGCACUGUUGAAUUUAUUUAUCUAUUUAUUGAGAUGUUGAUUUCUCCUCAGUCUUCGUGCUGUGGUCUAGUGUGAGAGUGAAGAGGAGGGAAAAAAAUUGCGUUGACUUAGAAUUGGAGGGAGUUCAUGGCAAUUGAUUUCUCCAACAAUAUGGUUAAAGAGACAUACUUGGUGUAUAUUGUCACUUUCAUAAAUGCAUGGUGAGAUGGAUAGGUUUUAUUUCAAAGUACAUGUGCAACCUUUGAUCAGCACUGCAGAUCAGAUGUUCAAAGUACUUGGAAUAUUUUCCAUUCAUCAAACCUUUCAAAACAUUUGACUUGAAUAAGAUAGGCUGCAAUCCAUUGUUUUAUGUCAUUAUUACAUAGCAUGUAUGGUUGUUUUAUGUCAUAUUGAUAUACCAAGAUAUUUUUGAUAUAGUAUAAAUUUUUGGUUGAUGGAG
rnacentral:misc_RNA from 1 species